CGGAAUUACUGGGCGUAAAGGGAGUGUAGGCGGCCCUAUAAGUCAGAAGUCAAAGCCCUCGGCUCAACCGAGGUAAGCUUUUGAAACUGUAGGGCUUGAGUGCAGGAGAGGAGAGUGGAAUUCCUAGUGUAGCGGUGAAAUGCGUAGAUAUUAGGAGGAACACCAGUGGCGAAGGCGACUCUCUGGACUGUAACUGACGCUGAGGCUCGAAAGCGUGGGGAGCAAACAGGAUUAGAUACCCUGGUAGUCCACGCCGUAAACGAUGAGUGCUAGGUGUUGGAAUCGCCAGAUUUCAGUGCCGGAGUUAACACAUUAAGCACUCCGCCUGGGGAGUACGAUCGCAAGAUUGAAACUCAAAGGAAUUGACGGGGGCCCGCACAAGCAGCGGAGCAUGUGGUUUAAUUCGAAGCAACGCGAAGAACCUUACCAGGACUUGACAUCCCUCAGACUAAUCUAGAGAUAGGUUUUCCCUUCGGGGCUGAGGUGACAGGUGGUGCAUGGUUGUCGUCAGCUCGUGUCGUGAGAUGUUGGGUUAAGUCCCGCAACGAGCGCAACCCUUGCCUUUAGUUGCCAUCAUUUAGUUGGGCACUCUAGAGGGACUGCCGGUGACAAACCGGAGGAAGGUGGGGAUGACGUCAAAUCAUCAUGCCCCUUAUGUCCUGGGCUACACACGUGCUACAAUGGCCGAUACAACGGGCAGCCAACCCGCAAGGGGGAGCUAAUCCCAAUAAGUCGGUCCCAGUUCGGAUUGUGGGCUGCAACUCGCCCACAUGAAGUUGGAGUUGCUAGUAAUCGCGGAUCAGAAUGUCGCGGUGA
rnacentral:rRNA from 1 species